AACGAGAUCUGUAGCAAUACAGAUACUCGUGGCGAACGGGUGCGUAACACGUGGAUAACCUUCCUUCAGGUGGGGAAUAACCCAGUGAAAAUUGGGCUAAUACCGCAUAACAAGACGAGGACACAUGCUCUUGUCUUCAAAGGCGCAAGUCGCCAGAAGAGGGAUCCGCGGCCGAUUAGCUUGUUGGCGGGGUAACGGCCCACCAAGGCAAUGAUCGGUAGCCGGACUGAGAGGUUGGCCGGCCACACUGGAACUGAGACACGGUCCAGACUCCUACGGGAGGCAGCAGUGGGGAAUCUUGCGCAAUGGACGAAAGUCUGACGCAGCAACGCCGCGUGGGGAAUGAAGCUUCUCGGA
rnacentral:rRNA from 1 species